CUUAUGAUGAUGUGAGAAAAUAAGUUGCCUCCAUGAUGAAAUGAAGUGACGUGAUGUAGGCAUUGUGAUGUAGAGUUAGGAAACUACUGACCUUCUGAUGAUUCAUCAAAGAAGGAUUGCCUGCUUUCCGGCUGAAGGAUCACUUGCUUUCCGGCAGAAGGAUCACCUGCUUGUGGUUGACUUGAUCACAGACUACCUACACAGAAUCCAACAGCAUGCAGGAGCAUACAUCUGGGUAGAUGUCCUCCUCAGGAAGAGGCCAAGAUAGCAGGAUACAAAGAUGUACUACAUAAAUGUUGGUUGACUUUGAGAUUGCAAUGGUUCUUCCACUUAAAGCAAGCAAAGUCAGCAUGGUGAGAUGAGAAAAUGGAUGGACUGCAGACAGGGAAACUUAUCAUUGGAUCCAUUACCUGUAUCCCUA